rnacentral:rRNA from 1 species
GACGUAGGAGGCGAGCGUUAUCCGGAUUUAUUGGGCGUAAAGGGAGCGUAGGCGGACUUUUAAGUGAGAUGUGAAAUACCCGGGCUCAACUUGGGUGCUGCAUUUCAAACUGGGAGUCUAGAGUGCAGGAGAGGAGAAUGGAAUUCCUAGUGUAGCGGUGAAAUGCGUAGAGAUUAGGAAGAACACCAGUGGCGAAGGCGAUUCUCUGGACUGUAACUGACGCUGAGGCUCGAAAGCGUGGGGAGCAAACAGGAUUAGAUACCCU